ensembl:lncRNA
UAAAUUUCAAGAAAAAAGUCAAAAUAAAGUGUUGAGAAUAAACUCGUUAAAUUUCAGGAAAAAAAUCUAAAUAAAGUGUUUAGAAUAAACUCGUUAAAUUUCAAGAGAAAGGUCUAAAUAAAGUGUUGAAAAUAAACUCGUUAAAUUUCAAGAGAAAAGUCAAAAAUAAAGUGUUGAGAAUAAACUCGUUAAAUUUCAGGAAAAAAAGUCAAAAUAAAGUGUUGAGAAUAAAUUCGUUAAAUUUCAAGAAAAAAAAGGCUAAAUAAAGUGUUGAGAAUAAAUUUGUUAAAUUUCAAGAGAAAAGUCUAAAUAAAGUGUUGAGAAUAAACUCGUUAAAUUUCAAGAAAAAAGUCUAAAUAAAGUGUUGAGAAUAAAUUCGUUAAAUUUCAAGAAAAAAAAGGCUAAAUAAAGUGUUGAGAAUAAAUUUGUUAAAUUUCAAGAGAAAGGUC